GAUGAACGCUGGCGGCGUGCUUAACACAUGCAAGUCGAGCGAAGCGCUUAAGUUUGAUUCUUCGGAUGAAGACUUUUGUGACUGAGCGGCGGACGGGUGAGUAACGCGUGGGUAACCUGCCUCAUACAGGGGGAUAACAGUUGGAAACAGCUGCUAAUACCGCAUAAUGCAACGGAAUCGCAUGACUCUGUUGCCAAAGAUUUAUCGCUCUGAGAUGGCCUCGCGUCUGAUUAGCUAGUUGGCGGGGUAACGGCCCACCAAGGCGACGAUCAGUAGCCGGACUGAGAGGUUGGCCGGCCACAUUGGGACUGAGACACGGCCCAG
rnacentral:rRNA from 1 species